rnacentral:SRP_RNA from 1 species
GCUGUGCAGUGGUAUGCACGUGUGGUCCAGCUACUCGGGAAGGAGGCUGAGGCAGGAGGACUGCCUGAGCCCAGAAGUUCUGGGCUGUAGUGCACUAUGCCAACUGGGUGUUUGCACUAAGUUCAGAAUCAAUAUGGUGACCUCCUGGGAGCAGGGGAUUACCAGCUUGCCUAAGGAGGUGUGAAUUGGCCCAGACUAGAAAUUGAGCAGGUAAAAACUCCCAUGCUAAUCAGUAGUGGGACUGUAUGCCAGCCAGGGCAACAGAGUGCAACCCCCAUCUCU